rnacentral:rRNA from 1 species
AUNACUGUGGUAAUUCUAWWGCUAANNCAUGCAAUUAAGCGCCGACUUCGGGAGGCGUGCUUUUAUCAGAUCAAAACCGACCGGGUUCGUCCUGUGACGUUUGAUGACUCUGGAUAACCNNGCGGAUCGUACGGUCUCUGCACCGACGACGUAUCAUUCAAGUGUCUGCCCUAUCAACUGUCGAAGGUACGCUACGUGCCUACCUUUGUGAUAACGGGUNACGGGGAAUCAGGGUUCGAUUCCGGAGAGGGAGCCUGAGAAACGGCUNCCACAUCCAAGGAAGGCAGCAGGCGCGNNAAUUACCCAUUCCCGACGCGGGGAGGUAGUGACGAAAAAUAACAAUACAGGACUCUAACGAGGCCCUGUNAUUGGAAUGAGUACAUCCUAAAACUCUU